UCGAUCGCAAUGAUCACUGGAAGGGUCCCCCACGGGACUGGAGUUCCAAGGUACGUGGCUUGUCCGCCAGGAGUCGCGGCCCACUGUUGUGCCUCAACCCAGUUUCCUAGUCCUAGAGCUUCCGGAAUGAGGCAUCCAGGCUGAAAGCAGCGCACAAAGCUUGAGGAUCCACACACAAUCUACGAGAAAAACGUUUCCCAGGUACUUACGACUGCCAGCAUUGCCCAUCUGCAGUGGAUGAGCUCUGACUCCUUGAAUCGUUCCAGGUUGUCGGGAACUUCUCCAAGUCCCAGUGGAUCGAAUCCAAAGUCACUGGAAGGACAAAGCGCUCUCACUUGUAAGCUAUGAGAAACUAGAUCUCUUGGAAGUUUAAACUCACCCAGGGGCUGAUCCGUCUAGGUAGGCUGGACGAGGCUGUCCUGGGAGCCACUCUGCGGACAUGCUGACCCUGCUUCCAUUGGAGAAUGCAG
rnacentral:lncRNA from 1 species